ensembl:lncRNA
AGUUAGUAUAAAGCAUGUUGUGUCCUAUUGCCAACAGGUGGCGCUAUGAUUAUAACUCAACAUUGGCCUUUAGAUAUCUUCAGGCCAUGACUCUUAUCAAAUAUUUGAAGUUUGGUGCAGAUUGGACAUUGCAUGUUUAAGUUAGUGUAAAACAAGCCAUUUUCUGUUGUCAGCAGGUGGCGCUAUGAUUAUAGUGGAAUAAUGACCUUCAGAUGUGUUCAGGCCAAGACUCUUUUCGAACAUGUGAAGUUUGGGAAAGAUCGGACAUCUUAUGCCUGAGUUACAACAACUUCUAUUCCCAUGGCGAGACAUCGAACUUUGUCAAGGCGCCAUGGCCACACCCUUUAAUGAAACCUCAAGAUGUUCACAAUUUAACAUCACAAAGGCCUUUAGAUUAGACUGACCAAAAAAAUUAUAAAAUGUCAUAAAAUUUCUAGGAGUAGUUUGUUACGGCGUAAAACAUGUCACUUCCUGUUGCCAGCAGGUGGCGCUAUAGCGAUAUCUGAAUAUUGGCAUGUAGAUAUAUUCAGGUCAGGAGUCUUCUCAAACAUGUGAAGUUUGGGGCAGAUUGGACAUUGUAUGUCUGAGUUAUAGCAACUUCCUUUCUCAUGGUGAAACAUCGAAAUUUGUAAGGCCGCCACAGACACACCCUUAAACGAAACCUCAAGAUCUUCGCAAUUUAACAUCGCAAAGGCCUUUAGAUUACACUGACAAAGUUUGGUGUUGAUCUGAAUAAAUCUCUAGGAGGAGUUCGUUAAAGUACAACCCCUGAAAAUGGCAAAAACGACACAAAUUUUGCAGAGAAAAUUCAAAAUAACUGACUUCCUGUUGGGAUUCGAAUUUCGUACCAAGAGACUUUUUUGUAGGUAUUGGUGUGUUACAUGUGUGUACCGAUUUUUGUACAUGUACGUGAAACGUAGCUCGAGGCGCACUCCUUUGAAAAUGUAUAGGUGGCGCUAUCGAGGCAUUUU